GGCCGGGGGCAUCCGUAUUGCGCCGCUAGAGGUGAAAAUCUUGAACCGGCGCAAGACGAACCAAAGCAAAAGCAUUUGCCAAGAAUGUUUUGAUUAAUCAAGAACGAAAGUCGGAGGUUCGAAGACUAUCAGAUACCGUCCUAGUGCUAAUCAUAAACAAUGCAUACCGGCGAUCUGGCGGCUGUUGGUUUCAGGAA